rnacentral:siRNA from 1 species
ACGAUUUAUUUGUCUUCCGUGA